GACGAACGCUGGCGGCGUGCUUAACACAUGCAAGUCGAGCGGUAAGGCCCUUUCGGGGGUACACGAGCGGCGAACGGGUGAGUAACACGUGGGUGACCUGCCCUCAGCUCUGGGAUAAGCCUGGGAAACCGGGUCUAAUACCGGAUAUGACUCCAUGACGCAUGUUGUGGGGUGGAAAGCCUUGUGCGGCUGAGGAUGGGCCCGCGGCCUAUCAGCUUGUUGGUGGGGUGAUGGCCUACCAAGGCGACGACGGGUAGCCGGCCUGAGAGGGCGACCGGCCACACUGGGACUGAGACACGGCCCAGACUCCUACGGGAGGCAGCAGUGGGGAAUCUUGCGGAAUGGGCGAAAGCCUGACGCAGCGACGCCGCGUGAGGGAUGACGGCCUGGUGUAAC
rnacentral:rRNA from 1 species